ACCCUUCACCAAUACUGAACCAUUUUAUAUCCAUAUAAAAAAUAUUAUGCUAGAACUAGUAACAAGAAAUUGCUUUUCUCCAAAAUGUAAGCAUAAACCAAAACGGACCCCCCAUUGGUGCUUAACGCAAAUGACUCUAAUAUAACAACUUUUACCUAGAAAACCUUAUAAUUUCGAGCGUUAACCUUACACUAGAACAUCUCAGGAAAGAUUAAAAGAGAAAGAAGGAACUCGGCAAACCUUAACCCCGCCUGUUUACCAAAAACAUCGCCUCUUGAAUAUAUAAGAGGUCCAGCCUGCCCAGUGACAAAGUUCAACGGCCGCGGUACCCUAACCGUGCAAAGGUAGCAUAAUCACUUGUUCUUUAAAUAGGGACUAGUAUCAAUGGCAUCACGAGGGUCAUACUGUCUCCUUUCUCCAAUCAGUGAAACUGAUCUCCCCGUGAAGAAGCGGGGAUAUAACUAUAAGACGAGAAGACCCCAUGGAGCUUUAAGCAAUGUAUUCACCACUGUACCCUCGUAUCAACUUAACACAAAUCCCUGAAUACUAGCUUUAGGUUGGGGGGACCGCGGAGUAUAACCUAACCUCCACGACAAACGGGCCACGCCCUAAUCUAAGAGUUACAACUCUAAGAAUCAACAAACUGAUGUUUCAUGACCCGAUAACUCGAUCAACGAACCAAGUUACCCUGGGGAUAACAGCGCAAUCUACUUCAAGAGCCCUUAUCGACAAGUGGGUUUACGACCUCGAUGUUGGAUCAGGGUGUCCCAGUGGUGCAGCCGCUACUAAUGGUUCGUUUG
rnacentral:rRNA from 1 species